rnacentral:rRNA from 1 species
UGGGGAAUUUUGGACAAUGGGCGCAAGCCUGAUCCAGCCAUGCCGCGUGCGGGAAGAAGGCCUUCGGGUUGUAAACCGCUUUUGUCAGGGAAGAAACGCUCUGGGCUAAUACCCUGGGGUAAUGACGGUACCUGAAGAAUAAGCACCGGCUAACUACGUGCCAGCAGCCGCGGUAAUACGUAGGGUGCAAGCGUUAAUCGGAAUUACUGGGCGUAAAGCGUGCGCAGGCGGUUAUGCAAGACAGAUGUGAAAUCCCCGGGCUCAACCUGGGAACUGCAUUUGUGACUGUAUAGCUAGAGUACGGUAGAGGGGGAUGGAAUUCCGCGUGUAGCAGUGAAAUGCGUAGAUAUGCGGAGGAACACCGAUGGCGAAGGCAAUCCCCUGGACCUGUACUGACGCUCAUGCACGAAAGCGUGGGGAGCAAACAGGAUUAGAUACCCAGGUAGUCCCUGAGCGGGCUGGCAAGGCGCAU